UAGCUCAGUUGGUAGAGCAUGGUGUUUGCAAUGCCAGGGUUGUGGGUUUGAUACCCAC
rnacentral:tRNA from 1 species